GGAAUGAAUACUGUGUACCCAGAAAACAGUAAACCUUCAGCUGCAGACCACUGACAGAAAUCUGUAGACCAUCAGUGUGGGAAACCUCAGCUUUAAGCUCUAAAUGAUUCAACAUUUGUUCCCUCUGAUGACACCGCGAAUCUGGGAAUGAAGAACUUCUUAGAGCUGAUUGGAAAUGGCAUUGCAGAGCUGAAACUUAACUGGAGGAAAUAUAUCUCCUGAAGAAGAAAAUAUAAUGCACUGUAAGGAUCUGUCUUCUGGUGAAAAAUUCAAGCCUAGAGAAAACUUGUCUGCUUUGUUAGGAAGAAUGGGUUGGACAAUUUUCUUCAAUUCCAAAGGAUAUCUGAAUGCCAUGCUGAGCUUAAUCUCUGCAGCAUGCUCUGUGCUUCUCAUCUCUUCCUGAUGCACUGCAUGGUUAUUCUGAAGGGAAGGAUAAAGAAACUGGCCACCAAGAUGGUAAUCACUAGUGGAAAUGAAGAAGAUAAAGGCAGUCAAGAAAAGGAAAGCAAAGAAGAAACCAUCUUGGCAAUGCUUGGAAUUAUUGGGACAAUUCUGAACCUCAUUGUGAUCAUUUUUGUGUAUAUUUAUACAACGUUGUAAACUAGAAGGCAUGCAAAUAGACCAGAUAAAAUGGCCAUUAAGAGUGACAACAAACAUUGCUGACUAUUGACAAGUUCUUUAAUCAGAAUUGACUCUGUAUUAUAUUAACACAUCAUAAAAGCACUGCCUGAAGGCAGCGAAGACUGAAGCACAAUUAAUUUAACAAGACUUUUUCACACAGUAAUAAGCUUAACUCUUCUUCCUGCCCUCUCCCUUUCUGUUUGGUUUUCAGUUUGGGGGAGAAUGACUGCAGUUAUAUAAGUUGUAGCUUUGAAGAAAUCCACCAGGGAUAUGUUGUUUUAAAACAAUAAAAAAAAAAAAGAAAAGAAAAUAAAAUACA
rnacentral:lncRNA from 1 species